AUUGAACGCUGGCGGCAUGCCUUACACAUGCAAGUCGAACGGUAACAGGUCUUCGGAUGCUGACGAGUGGCGAACGUGUGAGUAAUACAUCGGAACGUGCCCGAGAGUGGGGGAUAACGAGGCGAAAGCUUUGCUAAUACCGCAUACGAUCUCAGGAUGAAAGCAGGGGACCGCAAGGCCUUGCGCUCACGGAGCGGCCGAUGGCAGAUUAGGUAGUUGGUGGGAUAAAAGCUUACCAAGCCGACGAUCUGUAGCUGGUCUGAGAGGACGACCAGCCACACUGGGACUGAGACACGGCCCAGACGCCUACGGGAGGCAGCAGUGGGGAAUUUUGGACAAUGGGCGAAAGCCUGAUCCAGCCAUGCCGCGUGCAGGAUGAAGGCCUUCGGGUUGUAAACUGCUUUUGUACGGAACGAAAAGACUCUGGUUAAUACCUGGGGUCCAUGACGGUACCGUAAGAAUAAGCACCGGCUAACUACGUGCCAGCCGCCGCCGUAAUAC
rnacentral:rRNA from 1 species